CAUGUUUCUUGUUUUUUUCUUCAGGUCCGAGAUGAAAUAUUGAGAAUAGUUCUGGGGAAAUCAGGAAAAGAUCGAGGAACAGUAACAACCACAAAAUAAAUGAUCCAUAUAAAUGAAUGCACACAAGAAAAACUGGAGGCCUUGUAUCUUCCACUUAGGAUACAGGAUGCGGGACUCGAGGAGAGCAGAUUGCUCUGCAUUUCCAGUGGAGGUGUCAAAGUGCAUAGUAUAUCCUAAAUCUAAAAAUCACAAUGCAAAAAUGUUAUUUAAAUUGGUCAAACUGCAACCACUUUUGGAACAUCUAUAUUACAGGUGAUUGAGAUUUGUAACCUCUGCAUUGUCAACUGUGUGUAUGAUCCUCGGCACCAGGAGAGCUUUUGAGAUGGACCCAAUCAGCAUCAUCAGUCGAACUCUGUAUCAUCCCACAAAUGUUUAUGUUCUCAAAAGUGGACUGGUCCAGCAGGGUAAGAGAAGAGGCUGAAGAAAAGCAGAAAUUAAAUAAAUAAAUUGUAUUUAUAUAUAAAUAUAUUUUA
ensembl:lncRNA